UAGCCAAGAUGGCGACUGUGAGAAGUGUCUAACGUUCCACUCUCAACUUUUUGACUGCUCCAUCCAGGGUCGCCCCUGGGAAAGACAAACAAGAGCAAGUGGAGUUCUGACGAUGAACUUUGUGGCUCUGACAUGAAGUGAAGUAAAGUACAGUAGAGGCUGUAAGAUGUUCCAACUUAAUUGGCUCUUUCAAGAUGGAGCGACUUGCCGGCCGACUGUCCCAGGAAAUCUCCAGGGAAAAAUAAACGAGUCACAGCUGAAAAUAAUCAUGUCUCGUUCAUCUGACCUCGAUUGUUUCAAAGAGUCUUUUUUAAGGUGGUACAACUGGAACUAAAGAGUUUAAAGAUUACUGCAGCAAAGAGAUAAAAUAUUAAAAACUACUAAACU